AGCUCCAAAAGCGUAUAUUAAAGUUGUUGCGGUUAAAACGCUCGUAGUUGGGUCUUUGCUGGGCAUGCCUCGUCCAUCCAAGUGAUGUCUGCACGUGGCCUCCUGGCAUUUGUCUGGGGAAGGUUCUUGUGCUUAACUGUACAGCGCCUGAUCCAGAGUGAUUACUUUGAGAAAACGAGAGUGUUCCAAGCGGGCGUCAGCCAGAAUACAUUAGCAUGGAAUAAUAGCAUAGGACUUCAUUCUGAAGCUGUUGGUUUAAUAGAAUGGAGGAACGCAAAUAGGGAUAGUUGGGGGCAUUCGUAUUUAACUGUCAGAGGUGAAAUUCUUGGAUUUUUUAAAGACGAACUAGUGCGAAAGCAUCUGCCCAGGAUGUUUUUA
rnacentral:rRNA from 1 species